rnacentral:snRNA from 1 species
GUGCUCACUUGGGCACACAUAUACUAAAAGUGGAACUACACAGAGAAGAUUAGCAUGGCCCCUGCACCUAAAUGACACAUGAAACUUGUGAAGUGUUCCAUAUUUUA